GGAUUAGAUACCCUGGUAGUCCACGCAGUAAACGUUGUUCACUAGGUGUAGCGGGUAUUGACCCCUGCUGUGCCGCAGCUAACGCAUUAAGUGAACCGCCUGGGAAGUACGGCCGCAAGGCUAAAACUCAAAGGAAUUGACGGGGGCCCGCACAAGCGGUGGAGUAUGUGUUUAAUUCGACGACGCGCAGAACCUUACCCGGCCUUGACAUCGAGGGAAAGGCCUAUGAAAGUAGGUCCCUCACCUUCGGGUGACCCAAAGACAGGUGCUGCAUGGCUGUCGUCAGCUCGUGCUG
rnacentral:rRNA from 1 species